rnacentral:misc_RNA from 1 species
AACGCACAUUGCGCCCACUGGUAUUCCGGUGGGCAUGCCUGUUCGAGCGUCAUUAUCCUCCCUCAAACCCCGGGUUUGGUGUUGGACCCAAGUUGUGCAUCUGAACAACUGGUCUCAAAGACAAUGACGGCGUCCGUGGGACCCUCGGUGCAACGAGCUUCUAGGAGCACGCGUCGAGUUUCAAGGUCCUUCCGGGCCGGUCUCCUUCUUACUAUUUACAAGGUUGACCUCGGAUCAGGUAGGAAUACCCGCUGAACUUAA